UAGCCCUGUGCAGGCGGGUAUUAACCCCGUCCUUACCAAG
rnacentral:tRNA from 1 species